rnacentral:rRNA from 1 species
AUUGAACGCUGGCGGCAUGCUUUACACAUGCAAGUCGAACGGCAGCGCGGGCUUCGGCCUGGCGGCGAGUGGCGAACGGGUGAGUAAUACAUCGGAACGUGCCCAGUAGUGGGGGAUAGCUCGGCGAAAGCCGGAUUAAUACCGCAUACGACCUGAGGGUGAAAGCGGGGGAUCUUCGGACCUCGCGCUAUUGGAGCGGCCGAUGGCAGAUUAGCUAGUUGGUGGGGUAAAGGCCUACCAAGGCGACGAUCUGUAGCUGGUCUGAGAGGACGACCAGCCACACUGGGACUGAGACACGGCCCAGACUCCUACGGGAGGCAGCAGUGGGGAAUUUUGGACAAUGGGCGAAAGCCUGAUCCAGCAAUGCCGCGUGUGUGAUGUAGGCCUUCGGGUUGUAAAGCACUUUUGGCGGGAACGAAAAGGACUGUGCCAAUACCACGGUUCGAUGACGGUACCCGCAGAAUAAGCACCGGCUAACUACGUG